CGCGGCGCUCUGUACUUGUUCUUAGAGUUAAUAGUAAUAGUGCUGGCCAGUCGGCGGUGAGAUGAAUUCCCCUUUGGUAGGAACAGUCAUAUCCGCAGCUAUCACACGACAACCAAUAUCUGUGUAAUUUCCACAUCAUCUUGAACGUGCUCCACGAAAUCAUCCUUUCAGUGGCAGCUACUGCGGUGCACCAACUUGUUGGGUCGGACCCUUCAGACCGUGAAGGCGAUAGCUGAAGUUAAACAUCUAAUGCAUCUUCUGAAAAUGACUUCAGAGGCAUGGCUGAGUUCAGCACUACCCCAAUGGACGUUCUGUACUGCAGUAUAACAGAAAACUGCAGUGACCAACCUGGAACCUCUCGCCACUCAGAAGCAGAUGACCGGAGAGAACCAGGGGAGGUGCUGGGAGCCGCGUGUCCACUGAGGCCCAAGAACCCGUGCUGCUACCCAGGGUUCCGGUUCCACACCUCCAGAACCCUGGUUCCAGGACUCCAGAACCCUGGUUCUGCUUCUGCCCCACUCUCACUUCUGCAGUAAGAACCUAGACACCCCCACCAUCACUCCCACCAUCACCCUCACCCCCACCCCCACCCCCACUCACAAAUAAUGCACAAGUACAUGAACUACACUAUGUGGAGUUGUGUUAUUACUAGAAUAGCCCAUUGCCCUCAAAGGACUCAGUUAGAGGAAGUCUGCCCUGCCCUUAUGCACAAUGCACUGUCGUCUCAUUUAAACACACAUGAAAUCCUGCUACUUUGCCAGCUAAAGAAACACUUCCCUGAUUUGUCAUUUAUAUUUCUCAUUAAGAGCAAAAAGGCUUUUUUUCUACCAGUGAAGAGAUUCGGAAAAUCCAUUAUUUAAUUUCAGUAAUUCUCAGCUUGUUUUCUACCUUAUACAUCUGUUUUCAUUAAUCAAAUUGUGAUGAUUAUGGAUGAUUAACAAGAGUUAAUUUAAGGAAAACACACCAGCAGCUGGUACCUUUAAGCUUAAUUAGGAAAUUAAAUUGUGGUUUAUAACCUAUGUGCACUUCACACCAAUCAUUUUAAUGACAUGACAUGACAUGAAGGUGGAGUGUAAAGCUAGGCAUGUUAUUAAACGCCUUUAUUUAAAAU